rnacentral:rRNA from 1 species
GAAUAUUGGACAAUGGGCGCAAGCCUGAUCCAGCAAUACCGCGUGUGUGAAGAAGGCCUGAGGGUUGUAAAGCACUUUUAAUCGGGAGGAACACCUGUCAGUUAAUACCUGGCAGUCUGACAUUACCGAUAGAAAAAGCACCGGCUAACUCCGUGCCAGCAGCCGCGGUAAUACGGAGGGUGCAAGCGUUAAUCGGAAUUACUGGGCGUAAAGCGUGCGUAGGCGGCUGUUUAAGUCAGAUGUGAAAGCCCCGGGCUUAACCUGGGAACUGCAUUUGAUACUGGGCAGCUAGAGUUGAGUAGAGGAAAGGGGAAUUUCAGGUGUAGCGGUGAAAUGCGUAGAGAUCUGAAGGAACACCCAGU